rnacentral:lncRNA from 1 species
AUGAUAAAGACAACGACCUUCAAUGAAGAGACCAGAACUAAAUAUUCCUUCAUAACUUGCAAUUGCCGUGGGUUUCCUUCUCUAAAUACUCAAGAAGUCGAGCGACCAAAGCUGCAAUCCUACCACACCGGGUGAAGGUAUCCCAGAGCUUCUGCGUCAAUGGCUAGGCCGUCGACAGAGGUAAUUAUGAGUCAAAGCUGUAUUCCCCCCCCCCCCCCCCCCCCCCCCUACCUUAUUGCCCUGAGAGGCUCCUUGUGCGAUAAUCUUGGGCGAUAAUCAUAAAACAUGAAUCACAGCCGAUUGUGCUGUUUGCUCUUUAUUGCAUCACUGGCUGUGAAUUGUCUAUGUGUUAAUGCAUUACUAUCUCCGUCAAAAGUCUUGCUCAAGUAUGUGUGCGAUUUGUGAUUGUGGGUGGACAUGAAAGGCCACUGUCAUAAAGCCUUAUCUGUGCCUCCAGGGCAUUCCUCACUCGUGACACAGGGCUCUGCGGUUCCAAACCACGCGCACACACAGCCCUCUGAACCUCUGGG